rnacentral:rRNA from 1 species
CUCCGAAUACCAUAUACGUAAAAACAGGAGUCAGACUGCGGGAGCUAAGUUCCGUGGUCAAAAGGGAAAGAGCCCAGAUCGUCAAUUAAGGUCCCAAAGAUAUAGUUAAGUGGAAAACGAUGUGAUUUUGCGUAAACAACCAGGAUGUUGGCUUAGAAGCAGCCAUUCAUUUAAAGAGUGCGUAAUAGCUCACUGGUCGAGUGAAGUUGCGCGGAAAAUUACCGGGGCUAAACUAUACACCGAAAUUGCGGAUUCAUGAGUAAUCAUGAGUGGUAGAGGAGCAUUCUGUUGUAGGAAGAAGUGUGAUCGAAAGGACAUGUGGACGAAGCAGAAGAGAGAAUGCCGGAAUAAGUAGCGAAAGCAUGGUGAGAAUCCAUGCCAUCGAAAGUCUAAGGUUUCCUGGGGAAGGUUCGUCCGCCCAGGGUAAGUCGGGACCUAAGGUGAGGCCGAAAGGCGUAGCCGAUGGACAGCAGGUAGAAAUUCCUGCACUACCGAAAUACUUAAAAGAUGCAAGGGACACAGGAGUGGAAGGAAAGCGAGGAAGAGGAAAGACUCGUAUCGAAAGAUAUAGUGAAAAUUAAAGUAACGAAUUUCCAAGAAGCACACUGGCGAGAAAAGCUUGUAGAUAUUGUAUAGAGGUACCCGUACCGCAAACCGACACAGGUAGAUGAGGAGAGGAUCCUAAGAUGAGCGAGAGAAGCAUUGUUAAGGAACUCGGCAAACCAACCCCGUAACUUAGGGAGAAGGGGUGCCUAUGUAAAAAUAGGCCGCAGAGAAGAGGCCCAAGCAACUGUUUAACAAAAACACAGGUUUCUGCUAAAUCGAAAGAUGAAGUAUAGGAGCUGACGCCUGCCCAGUGCUGGAAGGUUAAGGGAAAAUGUAAGUACAGAAGUAUGAAGCAUAGAACCAAAGCCCCAGUGAACGGCGGCCGUAACUAUAACGGUCCUAAGGUAGCGAAAUUCCUUGUCAGGUAAGUUCUGACCCGCACGAAAGGCGUAAUGAUUUGGGCGCUGUCUCGACAAUGUACUCGGCGAAAUUGUAGUACUAGUGAAGAUGCUAGUUACCUGCGAUAAGACAGAAAGACCCCAUGGAGCUUUACUGUAGCUUGAUACUGGGUUUCGAUAAUUUAUGUACAGGAUAGGUGGGAUGCAAAGAAGCAAGUGCGCCAGCAUUUGUGGAGCAGACGUUGGGAUACCACCCUUAAGUUAUUGGAAUUCUAACCUGUAGUCAUGAACUGGCUAGGGGACAAUGUCAGGUGGGCAGUUUGACUGGGGCGGUCGCCUCCAAAAGAGUAACGGAGGCGCCCAAAGGUUUCCUCAGCGCGGACAGAAAUCGCGCAAGAGAGUGCAAAGGCAGAAGGAAGCUUAACUGAGAGACUGACAAGUCGACCAGAUACGAAAGUAGGUCUUAGUGAUCCGGCGGUAGUGAGUGGAAAUGCCGUCGCUCAACGGACAAAAGUUACCCUGGGGAUAACAGGCUUAUC